rnacentral:tRNA from 1 species
UUUGAUAUAUUUUAUUUAGAAUUUAUUUUUUUGGGAAAAUGAGGACGUAGUCAAAU